AGGGAAUCUUCCGCAAUGGACGAAAGUCUGACGGAGCAACGCCGCGUGAGUGAAGAAGGUCUUCGGAUCGUAAAACUCUGUUGUUAGGGAAGAACAAGUAUCGUUCGAAUAGGGCGGUACCUUGACGGUACCUAACCAGAAAGCCACGGCUAACUACGUGCCAGCAGCCGCGGUAAUACGUAGGUGGCAAGCGUUGUCCGGAAUUAUUGGGCGUAAAGCGCGCGCAGGCGGUCUUGUAAGUCUGAUGUGAAAGCCCCCGGCUCAACCGGGGAGGGUCAUUGGAAACUGGGGAACUUGAGUGCAGAAGAGGAGAGUGGAAUUCCACGUGUAGCGGUGAAAUGCGUAGAGAUGUGGAGGAACACCAGUGGCGAAGGCGACUCUCUGGUCUGUAACUGACGCUGAGGCGCGAAAGCGUGGGGAGCGAAC
rnacentral:rRNA from 1 species